rnacentral:lncRNA from 1 species
UAAGGCUUUCCAUAAAGACCUUUUUACUUUAUUUGCAUUAUUAUUUAGUGUUAAUACACGAAGAUUAUUAUUCCCAUUUUUAUUUAACAGAUGGCACAACGUAAGGCUCAGAGAGUUUAAGUCUUGUACCUGAAGUCAUACAGCCAGGAAAUACUUAGGUUCAGGUCUGUCUGAGCCUGAAGCCCUUGCUUAUGCUUCCUCUGCUCUAUACUCAGGGAUAAUAUCCCUCUCUCCACUUUAUUCCCAGGGAUCAGAUUCUGAAAGGUUCCUGAGGGAUUCAUGCCGGAGACUUGGGAGACUUGUCGUUCCUGAAAACCCCUACCCCCACCUUGAUUAAUCUUUUUUUUUUUUUUUCUGUAGAGAGUGGGCCUGGAACCAGGUGAAGCCCGAGUCUCCAUUCCAGGGGCUUUCUCUAAAAUCUGUCGCUGUUGUUGACUCCAGUAGAAUCUGUUUCAGGAAGAGGUUUGUCUGCCUGCGCGGGACAGCGGUGCCAUUCAUCACUGCAGGAGGACAGAAUCCGGGGCUGGGGGCCGCACGUCGAGAGGGGAGGGGCCAGGGGGCGGCCCCCUUGUGACCAGCCCUGAGGAGAGGUCAGGAGAGAAGGCUGGCUGAGGAGCGCCUGGACAGCAGCAGCUGCUGACGUUCUAUAUCACGCGCCUUGGGCCCAAGUCGCGGCUCCUUUCCAGACGCGUUUCUUCUCAAGCUCGGCAGUGAGCUGAUGGCCCAGUUUCGAGAAGCUUCCCUGUCCUCCAGCUCCGUGGCCCGUUGGACCUCUGGAGGUGGAGGAGGAGCCUCUCAGGAGCAGGGAGUCGAGAAGGCGGGGAAAAUGGAGGCGGAGGCCCUGGGGGCGGCGAUGGUUUACGCGGUCCAGGAAGCAGAGGAGAUGAAGCUGGAGCCCUGGCAGGAACGCAAGCCUGCACCCGAGGGGAACUUGACGUGGAGCGACAUUGGCGGCGACGAGAAGGUCUCUGAGCCUCAGCCUGCAAGGCUCCUUCCUUGACUAUUCAAGACCCAACUCACAGAUGACGUCUCUGGAACCUUCCCUGGAUACUCUAGGCAGGCAUAAAUUGGAUAACUGUCACCCAUCCCUUACCCCUCUCACUGUGCCUCCAAAGUACUUUGUCCAUACCUCGGUGAUAGUACUUAUUCUACUGUGAUUCUACUGUAGCUUUGUGAUUGUCUGCCCCUCUGCACCAGGUAUCCAUCCUGACAACAGAGGGCCAAGCCUUAUUCAUUUUCGUGUUAAUAAAUGUUUGUUGAAUGUGGGAGAGAGUUCUAUUAUUUGCUCUAUUC